CCUACGGGAGGCAGCAGUGGGGAAUAUUGGACAAUGGGCGAAAGCCUGAUCCAGCCAUGCCGCGUGUGUGAAGAAGGCCUUCGGGUUGUAAAGCACUUUCAGUGGGGAAGAAAGCCUUGGGGCUAAUACCCUCGAGGAAGGACAUCACCCACAGAAGAAGCACCGGCUAACUCCGUGCCAGCAGCCGCGGUAAUACGGAGGGUGCGAGCGUUAAUCGGAAUUACUGGGCGUAAAGCGCGCGUAGGCGGUCUGAUAAGCCGGUUGUGAAAGCCCCGGGCUCAACCUGGGAACGGCAUCCGGAACUGUCAGGCUAGAGUGCAGGAGAGGAAGGUAGAAUUCCCGGUGUAGCGGUGAAAUGCGUAGAGAUCGGGAGGAAUACCAGUGGCGAAGGCGGCCUUCUGGACUGACACUGACGCUGAUGUGCGAAAGCGUGGGUAGCAAACAGGAUUAGAUACCCCGGUAGUC
rnacentral:rRNA from 1 species